ACCAAUGAGGUGGGUCUUUCCACAUUCUACCAACACAACAGAUGUUAAUACUACAGUGAAUAUUAACCAAUGAGGUGGGUCUUAACACAUUCUACCAACCCAACAGAUGUUUCUACUGCAGUGAAUAUUAACCAAUGAGGUGGGUCUUUCCACAUUCUACCAACCCAACAGAUGUUAAUACUUCAGUGAAUAUUAACCAAUGAGGUGGGUCUUUCCACAUUCUACCAACCCAACAGAUGUUUCUACUACAGUGAAUAUUAACCAAUGAGGUGGGUCUUUCCACAUUCUACCAACACAACAGAUGUUUCUACUACAGUGAAUAUUAACCAAUGAGGUGGGUCUUUCUACAUUCUACCAACCCAACAGCUGUUUCUACUACAGUGAAUGUUAACCAAUGAGGUGGGUCUUUACACAUUCUACCAACAUAACAGAUGUUUCUACUACAGUGAUAUUAACCAAUGAGGUGGGUCUUUCCACAUUCUACCAACACAACAGAUGUUAAUACUACAGUGAAUAUUAACCAAUGAGGUGGGUCUUUCCACAUUCUACAAACACAACAGAUGGUAAUACUACAGUGAAAAUUAACCAAUGAGGUGGGUCUUUCCACAUUCUACCAACACAACAGUUGUUUCAACUACAGUGAAUAUUAACCAAUGACGUGGGUCUUUCC
rnacentral:lncRNA from 1 species